AUUGAACGCUGGCGGCAUGCUUUACACAUGCAAGUCGAACGGUAACAGGCCGCAAGGUGCUGACGAGUGGCGCACGGGGGAGUAAUGCACCGGAACGUGUCCAGUCGUGGGGGAUAACUACUCGAAAGAGUAGCUAAUAUCGCAUACGAUCUCUGAAUGAAAGCGGGGGACCGCAAGGCAUCGCGCGAUUGGAGCGGCCGAUGGCAGAUUAGGUAGUUGGUGGGGUAAAGGCUCACCAAGCCAACGAUCUGUAGCUGGUCUGAGAGGACGACCAGCCACACUGGAACUGAGACACGGCCCAGACUCCUACGGGAGGCAGCAGUGGGGAAUUUUGGACAAUGGGCGCAAGCCUGAUCCAGCAAUGCCGCGUGCAGGAAGAAGGCCUUCGGGUUGUAAACUGCUUUUGUACGGGACGAAACGGCUCUGGUUAAUACCCGGGGCUAAUGACGGUACCGAAAGAAUAAGCACCGGCUAACUACGUG
rnacentral:rRNA from 1 species